rnacentral:lncRNA from 1 species
AAGGCUUUACCAUACCGAAAAUCGGCCGAUUUUUAACCAUGUGAGAAACGUCCCGAAAAUUCACAGAUAACUACUAGGAGGCCUCACUCUGAGUAAUAUCAAAGUUUUCUCCCACAAGAACCGCUCGGAGAUGCCCAGACUCAGUUUUUAUUUUCGUCCCAAUACUUUUCUUCCCAUGGACUAGUUGUGUUUCUUUGAUCUUGUGCAACCUAUUUGGGCCGAUGAUAGCCCGCGGAUAGGUGUGGAAACCCAUCUAUAUUGCACACAGUAUGACACAGAAAAAAAGCCCAGGGCCUAGGGGUCGGGUGGGGCUCGUUCGGGGUGCACAACGGUUGCGCCAAAAACGGUCCAAAAAUGGCCAAGGCUUUACCAUACCGAAAAUCGGCCGAUUUUUAACCAUGUGAGAAACGUCCCGAAAAUUCACAGAUAACUACUAGGAGGCCUCACUCUGAGUAAUAUUAAAGUUUUCUCCCACAAGAACCGCUCGGAGAUGCCCAGACUCAGUUUUUAUUUUCGUCCCAAUACUUUUCUUCCCAUGGACUAGUUGUGUUUCUUUGAUCUUGUGCAACCUAUUUAGGCCGAUGAUAGCCCGCGGAUAGGUGUGGAAACCCAUCUAUAUUGCACCCAGUAUGACACAGAAAAAAAGCCCAGGGCCUAGGGGUCGGGUGGGGCUCGUUCGGGGUGCACAACGGUUGCGCCAAAAACGGUCCAAAAAUGGCCAAGGCUUUACCAUACCGAAAAUCGGCCGAUUUUUAACCAUGUGAGAAACGUCCCGAAAAUUCACAGAUAACUACUAGGAGGCCUCACUCUGAGUAAUAUGAAAGUUUUCUCCCACAAGAACCGCUCGGAGAUGCCCAGACUCAGUUUUUAUUUUCGUCCCAAUACUUUUCUUCCCAUGGACUAGUUGUGUUUCUUUGAUCUUGUGCAACCUAUUUGGGCCGAUGAUAGCCCGCGGAUAGGUGUGGAAACCCAUCUAUAUUGCACCCAGUAUGACACAGAAAAAAAGCCCAGGGCCUAAGGGUCGGGUGGGGCUCGUUCGGGGUGCACAACGGUUGCGCCAAAAACGGUCCAAAAAUGGCCAAGGCUUU